rnacentral:lncRNA from 1 species
AUUAUUCUCACACCCACAAGAAGGUUCAAGUUAAACACAUAUUACACCAUAAUGAAAAUAUGUUUAUAAACAUGCACAUACAUUGUACGCAAGUUGAAAAACAAAUUAAUCUAGAGAAAGCAUAGUUUUGACCAUCUUAACAAUCAUCUACAACACACAAGUCACAAAAAGAUAAGGACUACUGGUUACUAUGAGAGACUUCAGAUGGUCCAGAACACACAAGUUUGUAUCUACUUGCACAAAGUGCAAGCUCCAAAACACUCGAAACACCAAAUGGUCUACAAGACAAUAAGGUCCAUGAUUACAGGUUGGUUGGUCCAUAAACGCUAGAGAGUCAUCAUGUCCAUGUGCAUCAAUAGGUUCAGUACCUGAAAACAUUUUGCACA